rnacentral:rRNA from 1 species
UACUUAGUGGCAGACGGGUGAGUAACAUGUAGGUAUCUGCCCUUUGGCCUGGAAUAACACGAGGAAACUUGUGCUAAUACCGGAUAAGUCUUUACGGAGAAAGCUUUAUGCACCAUUGGAUGAGCCUGCACUUGAUUAGUUUGUUGGUGGGGUAAUGGCCUACCAAGACUGUGAUCAAUAGCUGAUUUGAGAGGAUGAUCAGCCACAUUGGGACUGAGACACGGCCCAAACUCCUACGGGAGGCAGCAGUGGGGAAUCUUGCACAAUGGAGGAAACUCUGAUGCAGCGAUGCCGCGUGAGUGAAGAAGGCCCUUGGGUUGUAAAGCUCUUUCGUCGGGGAAGAAAAUGACUGUACCCGAAUAAGAAGGUCCGGCUAACUUCGUGCCAGCAGCCGCGGUAAUACGAAGGGACCUAGCGUAGUUCGGAAUUACUGGGCUUAAAGAGUUCGUAGGUGGUUGAAAUAGUUGGUGGUGAAAUCCCAGAGCUUAACUCUGGAACUGCCAUCAAAACUUUUCAGCUAGAGUAUGAUAGAGGAAAGCAGAAUUUCUAGUGUAGAGGUGAAAUUCGUAGAUAUUAGAAAGAAUACCAAAUGCGAAGGCAGCUUUCUGGAUCAUUACUGACACUGAGGAACGAAAGCAUGGGUAGCGAAGAGGAUUAGAUACCCUCGUAGUCCAUGCCGUAAACGAUGUGUGUUAGACGUUGGAAAUUUAUUUUCAGUGUCGCAGGGAAACCGAUAAA